rnacentral:rRNA from 1 species
CUUUACUGUAGCUUUGCAUUGGACUUUGACGGGACUUGUGUAGGAUAGGUGGGAGGCGAUGAAAUCGGGACGCCAGUUCCGAGGGAGCCAACCUUGAAAUACCACCCUGGUGUCGUUGAGGUUCUAACCCAGAUCUGUGAAUCCAGAUCGGGGACCGUGCAUGGUGGGCAGUUUGACUGGGGCGGUCUCCUCCCAAAAGGUAACGGAGGAGUACGAAGGUCUUCUAGGUACGGUCGGACAUCGUACUGAUAGUGCAAUGGCAAAAGAAGGCUUGACUGCGAGACCGACAAGUCGAGCAGGUGCGAAAGCAGGUCAUAGUGAUCCGGUGGUUCUGUAUGGAAGGGCCAUCGCUCAACGGAUAAAAGGUA